CUAUAUAAUAAGUAGUUAUAUGGGAACGAAGGAGCCAAACUUGUGUCUCGAGCUGAUACAGUAUGGUUCACAAGGCCAACGUUGUUUGCAUGAUUUCCAUCACUCUAUUGCUAUUGUUCUCAUCCAAAUUAGUCUUUGACAAAGUUUCUGAAAAUCCAAAGCACGAUGUAGCAGAAAAGAUCAUCAGCCGGUCGCAUGUGCAUAUUGUGAGAAAGAUUCCCGUACCAAAUCCUUAUAAUCAUGGGCCAGUGCCAAGACAUAGAACAAAAAAUUAGGGGUGUGCAUUAAACCGAUCGAACCAUAUUUUGUGUUGCAGGUUCUUACCUUUUAAAUUUUAUUUUAGAGGGAUUUGGUCCUAUGUCCGCCCCUCUCUUUUUCUUGUAUUUUCUUUUUCAAAAGAGAUAAGGUGUAUAUCCUUUCCUCUUUUCUUGUAUUUUGUUGUUCUUACUUUAUGAUGAAUAAGGUUUAUGUCCCUCCUUGGCUAGGUAUAAUUUUUUUUUUCUUUCUCAUCUCAAUAAAUUUCUCUUGUAACGCCAAGUUUUCCAAAAAAACGUCUAUUUUUUUUUCGAUGAAUUGGAGUGGAUUUGAGUCAAAUAUAAUUCAUGACUCCAAACUUCUGAUUCCGCAACUAAGUUUUAAUAUAUCUAAGCAGCACCAUAAUGUAUAAGCUAUGGGAAUGCGGCCUUAUUAUAUCUGAACUAGGUAAACAUGUUGCAUGUGAAAUUAGAAGCCAAAAAUGAGGGUGAAGGAGAAGAUAACAACUUGUAGGUCAUGGUGUAUCUACACCAUAUAAGUUGUCCUUCACUCCUUAAACAUGAGUUAUUGACAAAGUUAUUAAUUUACGUUGGACAUUGGAGAUCAAAACCUCAUAAUAAAUUUCUUUUUGAAUCUGUAUCAUAACAAACAUGUGAUUUGACAUUUUUUCAUCACGAAUAGCAAUAUUUAUUAACUUUUUUUUUUUAAUUUUAUAGAAAACCUUGAUGGCACAAGGAGAAUUUUAUUGAUAUAAAAAAAGAGUAAACCUAGUUAGGGGAGACAUAAAUCUAAUCCCUCAUAAUACAAGAAAAAAGGAUAAAGAAAAUACAUGAAAAGAAGGGAGGACAUAAAUCUUAUCAUUCUAGAAACAAAAACAACAAAAACACAACGAAAAUAAGGGGGGGGGACAUGAAAUCUAACCCUUCUAAAGACGAACCUAAAGUUGAUAUAUAAGUAAUACUGAAACAGUUAUUCAUCAACAUACUAACCCCUAAGGUUUAAGAAAACUCAAUAUAGCAUAAUAAGUAAUAGGUUUUCCGAAAACUAUAAUAUCCCACAUCGGCAAGGUGGGGGUUGGUUUCUGGCCUUAUAUGUACAUGUCCCUCUAUUCCUAGCAUAACACGUUUUGGGUAGUGAGGUUCUCUUGCCCAUGAACAAAUCCGUAAGGACGUGGCCCAAAACGGACAAUAUCGUGCUACGACAGAGUAGUGAUGUGACAAUUUGGUAUCAGAACCAGACUCAUCGUCCUUUCAGAUGUGCCGACGAGGACGUUGGUCUCCCUAAGGGGGUGGAUUGUAGUAUCCCACAUCGACGGGGUUGGGGUUGGUCCCUGGCCUUAUAUGUACAUGCCCCUCUCUUCCUAGCAUAACGCAUUUUGGGUAAUGAGGUUCUCUUGCCUAUGAACAAAUCUGUGAAGGUGUGGCGCAAAGCGGACAAUAUCGUGUUACGGCAGAAUUGGAAUGUGAUAGUCAAUCAGAUGGAUAGUUAGAAUUGGUACGUAUAUUAGCAGGUGCUUGAAACAAGAAAAAAUUAAAGCAAUUAAGUUGUUGCUUUAGACAUUUUACAUUCCAUCAUUGCAAUAUCUCUAUUAUAAUAAAUAUUGAACACCAUUGGGGCUUCUCCUAAACUCUAAACUCUAGUUAUCUUUUAAACUGAGCAUUAGUACUGUACUAUUUUUUAAACUGAACACUAAUUAUUUCUAGAAUUGAACAUUGACUAUUUUUAGAACUUAACACAUACUAUUUCUUAAACUAAACACUGAUACUAUUACUAUUUGUUGAAUUGAACACUGACUAUUUAAAAAAAUUAAACAAUGGCACUCUCUCUAUUUCUUAAACUGAACAUUGAAACUAUUACUAUUUUAAACUAAAGACUGAUUAUUUCUAAAAUUGAACAAAUGUACUAUCACUAUUUUUUAAACUAAAAACCAACUAUUUUUUAAACUGAACAAUACUACUACCAGCGCAUAUUUGUAUUUACAAGUGGCAAUUAAACUUAAAAACUAGGCAACUUUAAAUAAAUAAGACAAACACAAGUUUGAUAAUACUAAAAUCAAUAAAUUAAACCUACAAUUAGCAUUUCUCUUACAUAGUUAUCACUUUGGACAUUUCGACAUUGAAAACCUCAACCAUAAUAACAAGAAGAAAUUUCCAUAAUUGAGAAAUACUAAGGAGAUUCUCUUAAAAGUGGGACUCUCUAUAGACUUUCCGUCCCCACUUCAUGUUUUUGCACAAUUCAUGUAUCAGCAUUAUAAAAUAUCGUACAAAAAACAUGAGGUGCCGGAGAGUUUCAUGAAAAGUACCACUUUAAAAGAGGCUUCUUAGCAUUUCUUUCCAUACUUUUAUUAACACUUUGAUUUUUCUUGAAAUUGUGUGGUGCAAGUGCAAGUUGUUUGGACAUAAAUUUGAGUGGGGUCGUUUAUGGAUGACUUAAUAGGACGUGCAUAAACCUUAAUGUAGUGUUUGAAAUUUCUUCGAUGUGAUUAAUAUUUCUGUAAAAAUAUCCAUAUGAUCAAAUAAAGAUAUAGAAAGGGGGAUGAAGUUAUAUCGGAGAAACUCUUAACUUUUGAUUGUCGAUAUUUCUCACAUUGGUUAAAUAUCGGAUAAACUCUUUUUAUUUAAAUUUUUAUCAUUUCCAUAAAAAAAAAAGCUGAUAACAAUAUCGAUACAUCCAUCGAUAUUCUCACAUAUUUGCACAAAUUUGCGUAUUGACAUUUUACCUAUGACAAUAUUUUGAACACUAUCUUGAACUAACAAUAACAUGCAAUAAUUAGUUCCAUGUCAAAUAAAUAUUAAUAAAAAUUGGAUAAAAACGCGCUUAGAUAUGUGGUGUAGGUCUCAUUAUAUAUAUUCAUGAUAAAUAUCACACACCUGUGUGUGACAGCCCGUCCCGUAUUAUUCGUACCGUAUGUGUGAAAUGACGAUUUUGCCCUUGUUGGUUAUUUGUCAUUUUGGGGUGUUGUUUAAUUGUUUUUGGGGGGUUGACUCUACAGGACACACACACACACACACACCUAUCCCUUUUCUUUCCCCUGUGAUUCUCUCUCUCUCUCUCUCUCUCUCUCUCUCUCUCUCUCAUUCUCACUUGUACGGAUGGGACUCAAAACCCUUGCAAACGUGACGGGUCGAAGUGGAAAAUGGUACCUUUGUGUUCGUGAGGACCAUACGAGUUCAACCAUACCAAAUUCAGGUAGCUUAGUGAGGUCCUCAGGAAGCUCGAAAUGGUUCGUUAGGUGAAAGUGGACGUCGGGAAAGCUAGUUUGAAGUUGGCCGGUUUUUCUCGAAUUUCUCCUGCGAGAUCCCGUGAUCUUUGAGGUUUCAAACAAGUAUAACGUUGUUCUACUCAUCUCCAGCUUUCCAUUGGUGCAAAUUUCAUAGAAAUUGG